rnacentral:rRNA from 1 species
GCGACCAUACCCACUGGAGAACUCGGGAUCCCGUCCGCUCUCCCAUCGAUAAACCAGUGAGGGCCGGAGUAGUAGUUGGGUCGGUGACGACCAGCGAAUGCCCGGUGUUGCAUGUC